rnacentral:rRNA from 1 species
GUUAGGAAUCUUGCGCAAUGGACGAAAGUCUGACGCAGCGACGCCGCGUGCGGGAUGAAGGCCCUCGGGUUGUAAACCGCUUUCAGCAGGGACGAAAAUGACGGUACCUGCAGAAGAAGCCCCGGCCAACUACGUGCCAGCAGCCGCGGUAAUACGUAGGGGGCGAGCGUUGUCCGGAUUUAUUGGGCGUAAAGAGCUCGUAGGUGGUUUGGUAAGUCGGAUGUGAAAUCUCCAGGCUCAACCUGGAGGGGUCAUUCGAUACUGCCAUGACUAGAGUUCGGUAGGGGAGUGUGGAAUUCCUGGUGGAGCGGUGAAAUGCGCAGAUAUCAGGAGGAACACCCGUAGCGAAGGCGGCACUCUGGGCCGAUACUGACACUGAGGAGCGAAAGCGUGGGGAGCGAACAGGAUUAGAAACCCGAGUAGUCC